GCUUUUGUAAAUUUACCUGUGGAACUGGGAUGCUAUAAAUCUGCACAUAAUUAGGAAAAUGCUAAUGUAAGCUGAACUAUGCUGUAAUCCUUGAGAAAGGAAUAACCAUUAACCUGUAAGAACUUGGACACUUCGUUUAGUGUGUUGUUACUCCCCUCUCACAUUCCAAGUGUUAAGUUUAACAAUUCUGUGGAAUUUUGUGGGAUUUUGAGGAGGUUGAAAUAAUCUGGUGGGACUUUGAUGGAUUUUCUUGGGAUUUUUGUGGUUUUUUUUUAAGAUUUUGAGGGGGUUUAAAUAAUCUGGUGGGACUUUGAUGGAUUUUCUUGGGAUUUUUGUGGUUUUUUUUUAAGAUUUUGAGGGGAUUUAAAUAAUUUUGUGAGCUUUUCUUGAGAUUUUGUGCCAUUUUGUAGAAAUUUUGUGGAAUUUUGUGUUAUGUUGUGGUAAUUUUGUGGGAUUUUGAAGAGACUAGGAGAAUUUUGAGGACGUUUUGUGGAGUUUUGUGGGAUUUUUGUGGAAUUUUGUGGGAUUUUGAGGAGAUUUAAAUAAUUUUAUGAGUUUUUAAUGGAAUUUGGUGGGUUUUUUAAGAAAUUUUGAAGGAAUUUUGUGAAACUUUAAGGAAUUUUAUAUAAUUUUGUGGGAUUUCUGUGGGAUUUUGUGGUAUUUCUUUAGAAUUUUGUGGGAUUUUCAGGAAAUUUAAACAAUUUUGUGGGCUUUUUGUGGAAUUUUGUGGGAUUUUGAGGAGAUUGAAAUAAUCUGGUGGGACUUUGAUGGAUUUUCUUGGGAUUUUUGUGGUUUUUUUUUAAGAUUUUGAGGGGAUUUAAAUAAUUUUGUGAGCUUUUCUUGAGAUUUUGUGCCAUUUUGUAGAAAUUUUGUGGAAUUUUGUGUUAUGUUGUGGUAAUUUUGUGGGAUUUUGAAGAGACUAGGAGAAUUUUGAGGACGUUUUGUGGAGUUUUGUGGGAUUUUUGUGGAAUUUUGUGGGAUUUUGUGGGAUUUUGUGGGAUUUUGUGAGGGAUUUUGUGGAAUUUGUGGGGAUUUUGAGGGGAUUUUGUGGGAUUUUGAUGAGAUUUAGUGGAAUUUUGUGGGAUUUUGAAGAAAUUUUGAAGAAAUUGAUGAAAUUUUAAGGAAUUUUUGUGUAAUUAACAAUUAACAUUUAACAAUUUCACUGCAAAAAUAAAACAAUACCACUGUAAUGAAAUACA
rnacentral:lncRNA from 1 species